rnacentral:lncRNA from 1 species
UUGGUGAGGUUCUCGUUGGACCCAAAAGAAGGGAAUGGGGUUAAUUUGAUGGAAAUCCCUAAAACAAAUCAUUUCCUGUACUCUCUUCUCCUCUCACCCCGACGGCGAUAAUGGGCCGGUUGUCGGCAGCUUCAAACCGGUGGAGAAGAAUUACAAUGGCUGGUUUAUGAAGUUCUAAUCCCGAAGUGUCUCUGGUUCUAUAUGGGUAAAGAAGAAGACAGUGGUUUAUGGUGACACACUCUUCUCAGCGACGAACAAGGUAUCUCCUCUCCUUUCUGUUUUGAUUCUAUUUCUAUCCUUUUUUGGAUUUUUUUCAUAAACUUGUAUUAUCCUUAUUCUCAUCUUCUUUAAUUAACAGAAGCAGUGAAUGUAAAAUAUUUUUUAUGUUCUCCUUUUUUAGAAGACAUGGUAGUGACAAAGGGGUAGUACUAAUAUAUGCGUAGAUUUCUAAAUUCUAACAUAAAAAAUAUUUGGAUUAAGCAUGUAUUAGAAUGUUAAGUAUUGCAAUAUCAUUUUUCAUCCUUUAUUGUUUAUCAAGCUAAACCAGAAACAUAAUAUAAUUCAAAUCAUCGCUAUUACUAGUUCAUUGCAUAAAAGGAGUUUUGUUCAGGGUGCCUUGUUAUGAAAUCUUGACAAAAUGCCUGCUGGUGCGUUUAAUAAAUAUGUAAAUAUGUUAAAACAUAUUUCAAUUUGCAACUACUUGAAUAGGAUGAAUAGUGUACCUGAGAGUAUACCUUUUUUCCUUUGCUCUUUGAGUGACAACCUUCUGUUCCUUGUUGUUUUUUCUUUGCACUUGCAUGACGUUCUUUGAUUUGUGAUACACGUACAUGUGAUAUUUCCUAAUUUUUGAUAGCUAUAUGUAUUGUGAAUAUGUAUUGUUUGCUUAUAGUUGUGGGAUGGCACUCUUUUUUCUCUCUCUAAUUUUCUGGGUUGUGAUGUAUGUAAGUGAUAUGUCCUUUUUUCUCUCUUUUUCUUAUGGUUGUGUAUGCGUAUAUGUAAUCUGGUCUUUGUUCUCUCUCUGAUUUCCUUAUGGUUGUGUGUUGUGUUUGUUCUCUUUGUGAUUAAGUAUGUCUUUCUGGGUGUAUGCUACAUGGUCCUAUUUAUAACUCGUUAUCCCAUGUAAAGACCUUUUGAGUUUCCCUCAUCUUGGCUUGAUUGUUGCUCUUUUGAUUCAGAUAUCUUUAUGAUACUCAUUAGGUUUUUUGUGUGUGCUAAUUACGUCUUUGUAACUGAAAAGCUCUUGGUUUACCCAUGUUAUAACUCUCCUUGAUAUCCUGCUCCAAAAAAUAUGUCUAACUAUAUUAUAUGUCCCCUUGAUUUCAUAACUGUCCGAAAAAAAUAAUGUGUUGUAAAUCAAUGGAAUAUGUAAUGAAUUUUGGUUGACUGUUACUACUUAUGCAUUAGUUUGCAACCUCCAACUAACUCUUUGUCCCUUCUGAAUUCAUUAUGUGAUUGAUCCGAUUAUGAUUUGCUCAUUAUUCCUGAAAUUUGUGCCUGUUAUGAGAAUAUGCAACUCUGUUUUCACAAAAACCAGUCUGCUGGACUGUUCAUAAGGGAGGGUACCCGUGUAACUCUUGUUCUUUAGCCAUACCUACUUCAAUACCAAUCUCUUUUGCUUUCUGAAUUCAGUUUACUGUUUGCAUCUAGUUUAUUUCUCUUUGGGUUUGGUUUAACAUUGGAUUCUUUUAAUAGUAGGCUUAAGGCUUUUUGAGGACCAUUAUUGAUCAACAAUUCUGGAUAUUGAGUUGGAUACCUCUUAGCUUUCAUUAUAUCACUCCCUUCUCCUUGACAGACCUUUUUGCUAUUAUACCAUGGCACAUGAAAUAAUGCAAGCAUCCCAAGUGUUUAUUUCCUGUCCACUUUUGACAAGUCUUACUUUAGCCUUUGUAUUGGUAUGAGUACACACCAUAAUCUCAAAUGGCAUUUUCCAUCUUGAAUUAUAGGAAACAAACUCAUCCUUUAACAAAAAUAUCUUCUUAACUUGAUGAUUCCCCUAUAUCAGGUACAGUCCUGGCAUGAUCUCCCAGAACAGGAUCGAACAUUGGUGGUGCAAAUCGCUUUCCAACUUGGGUUGAUCUUCAACCUUAUCCAAGAAUGUCUAAAUCAACUUAAGUGUCCUCCGAACAUAGAAGUUUAACGAAGGAUGUUCUAGAUGCAAAAAUAUCCACCUUCAGCAAUACUUUUUUAUAUAAGCUCACUGUACACUAUCUUGUUCUUUUGGAAAAUCAACCUCUUGACGUGCCUGCCCUGUAAUUUCAGUCGUUUCUGACUAGGGAGCCCCAUCAACCGCUAAAGAUAUUCAUUCUUUUUCCAUCAUUUUUAAUCCCAUUCUACUGUUCAUGUGAUCCUCUAGAGGGAAAGUAUUUGUUUGUAUUAAAGGCAAAACCAGUGUCAAGUUCAUGUAGCUUUCGUAUUGUAAGUGAAUGGUUUGUAUUUGCCAACAUUAAAGUUUGAACUUGAGGAGCUUAGAUAUACCUUUUUCAGCUUAGUUUUCUUCCAAUGAUUAUAAUUGGUGUUUGUAUUGAUUAUGAUAAUAUUUGUAACCAAAAAAACUUGAUCAGAGAUAGUUUAUUCACCUUAAUAUUCUAUUUUAAUAAUAUUGGUCAGUGAUUUACAAUAUUUUUUGAAGUAAUAACUAAUUGUCUUUUUCGUAUAUGUAUGACCAAGUUGUGUUAUAUAUGGAAAACUAUAGCGUAUGAGUUUCUGUUAACAAUUUGGAUUAUUUUCGUGUAAUAUUUACUCCAAUUGUAUCUUUAAAAUAAAAUUAAAUAAUUUCAUAAAUACAUAUUAUGUAAUAACUAAAACAAUCAUUGUUUGAGUGUAUGAAUUUUAAUGACGCUCAUUAAAGCAAACGAUAUUAAAUGUGUGACUUUUAACAGUGUUUAUUCUAAUGAGUAUUGUUGAUUGUCACCUUUAAUAAAAAUCAUUUAAGCGUUGUUGAAUACAAAUCAACUGCGCUUACUUAAAAAAAAUGUUGUUGAAUAUCUUAGGCAAACAUACAACAUCGCUUAUUGAAGCAAGCAUUAUUGAAGUUAUAUCCGCCUAUCAAAUUUCACAGUGUUUGCUUAAAGGAGCGUUGUUGAUUAUCUUCCGUCUUGUAUUUAAAAGUGAUGUGCUAGGAAACAAACGUGAAUUUUGGCGUAGUGUGACGGUCAUGUCAUAUCUUCUGGUCGUUUGAGAUGAGAUUUUAUUUGUGUUGUUGGGCGUCUUUGGCCAUAAAUAGAGACUUCUCUCAUUCAGAAAAAUCAUAUUAGUUAAGAGCAUUUCCUCAACUCUUCUUUUUCCCUCUCUACCGAAACAUUUACUACUUUCAAGAAUUGACAUUAUUAGUCAUAUGGUGAGAAAUUCGAGAAUUGAUAAGGAUAGUCAUAUUAUGAGUAUUUCGAGAAUUUGUAAUGGUAGCUACGUUAUGGGUGUAUUCGAUAUCAGUUCUUACGUGCAGUAAGAAAACGAAAUAGAAAAGUGAGUUGUUUUAUCUUAAGAACAUCAUGGUUAAUAGUCUACUUGCACAAAUUAAAAAGUAUCACAAAAUAUUUUAAAGAGAUAAAUCUAGUUAUAACUCAUCAAGUAAUAUAUAUGCAUUGUCAUAUUUAAUUGCUGCAAGUCAUGAACAAUGGAUUCUUAUAUAGACCAUAUGAAAACUUCUUGCCAAAACAUCAUAUUUAAAACAAGCUAUAACAUCUCACAUCUAGAUAGAAAUACUACUGCAUACAUUUCUAUGUCAAUUUUAAAAUUUUAAAAAUCUUCUGCAAUAUUGUCAUUGAAAAUUUCCCGAAUUGAUUUUCCAUUUCUAUAAAAAAAAAUAUUGUGUGAGAACUUUGAGUUCCAGAAUAUACCUUGCAGUAUUUAAAAUAAAGAAAUGUCAUUUUUUUUCUUUCACUUCACCUCCACAAAUUGUGUGUAUGGGCAAAAAGUCGGUAAUAGAGUCUAUUGCAGUGGAUAAGAUGUCUUCAGAGGUUCUUAAAUAAGGAUUUUUUAUAGGUAUAUAUUCGAUAAUAAUGAGCCGGGGUUUCAUUCAAAAGGAUUUUAUGCUCCUUGGUUAGUUAUCAUCUUGUAUUUGUGUAAUGAAAGAUUUGAGUUUGUUUGAAAGUUUCUCAUGCAGAGACCAACUAACUUACUGGUGGAAAAUAAACAUGUGGGGGCAAGAAAAUUA